rnacentral:rRNA from 1 species
CCUACGGGAGGCAGCAGUGAGGAAUAUUGGUCAAUGGACGAGAGUCUGAACCAGCAAAGCCGCGUGAAGGAUGACUGCCCUAUGGGUUGUAAACUUCUUUUAUAUGGGAAUAAAAUGUUCCACGUGUGGGAUUUUGUCUGUACCAUCUGAGUAAGGACCGGCUAACUCCGUGCCAGCAGCCGCGGUAAUACGGAGGUUCCGAGCGUUAUCCGGAGUUAUUGGGGUUAAAGGGAGCGUAGGUGGAUUGUUAAGUCAGUUGUGAAAGUUUGCGGCUCAACCGUUAAAUUGCAGUUGAAACUGGCAGUCUUGAGUACAGUAGAGGUGGGCGGAAUUCGGGGUGUAGCGGUGAAAUGCGUAGAUAUCACGAAGAACUCCGAUUGCGAAGGCAGUUCACUGGACUGCAACUGACACUGAGGCUCGAAAGUGUGGGUAUCAAACAGGAUUAGAUACCCGGGUAGUC